GUUACUCAAUCGCUUCAAUCCCUCACGUUUUCUACCGACGUCGCGAUUCCUCUUCUUGUAACGGAUUCUCCAGCCUCCCAUAAACAUCAUCGAUCUAUCAUCACUUAUCUAUUAGAUCUGCCUUUAAUCGAUUAUCUAACUCGCUUCAAUAAUCUCAUCUGUUUUAAUCUGCAGAAUUUGGUGAGAAAAAACUGUUUACGCUCUGUGUUUUGCGUUUGCCGGAAAAAUCUACAUCCCCAGAGAUCAAUUAUCUGUGGAUGAUGUGAAGGUUUACGUUCCCGGAGUGGAGAAACCCAUAGAUGUUUUCCCCAAUGCUAGCCAUCUUGCUAAAAGUUGGAGUGUCAAUCGGUUGCUCUGCUGCUACUGCUCGAGCUGAGCUGAUGACGAUGAUGACAUGGAUCUUUUUGGUGACGAGACUGAGGAGGAAAAGAAAGCUGCAGAGGAGAGGGAGACUGCUAAGAAGCCCAAAGAGAGUGGAUAGUCAUAUGUGCUCAUGGAAGUAGAGCCAUUGGAUGAUGAGACGACAUGAAGAAACUGGGAGCGGCUGUUCGCUGUGUUGAGAUGCAUGGUCUUCUAUGGGGAGCUUGUACGUCAACAAUUACCAUCUGUCUAUACUUGCAAUCGAAACGAGUGUAAGCUAUGAACUAUUUGUGUAAGGCAGUUUUAUUAUUUGUUCUUUUCUUCUGUUUAGUUGUUGCAGCAAAACUGGUACCAUUUGUUACGGUAUCAAAGAAGCUCACGAUCAUGCUAUCAUAAAUAAUUGAGCUUACAAGCCCAAAGUCUAACCGACCCAAACAAUUUCGUAUUUGUUGGGGAAAAGGUUACUAUUUAUAAGUCCAUUAGUGACAAAAAAAAACUGUGUACAAGAUCGGAUAUCAUAAAAUUCACCGCAUCAUCAUCAAAUAUACCUUCGAUAAGCUAUAACUACGUCAUCUGACCCCGCGUUUGUGCUGGGGCUAUGCCACUAGUAAAUGAAAAAGUUCAAAAUGAUGCUAUAAUUUCUUAGAAAUUAUAUUUAAAAGCAAUUGUGACACGAAAAAUUCAAGGGCAAUUUUUUCAAAUAUUUUUUAAGUUUUUAUCACAAAAAUAGUUUUCAAGAGGAAGAUAACCAAAAUAGUCCAUUUUAUUUUGAAAAUUUUAAUUUUAGUUUUAAUUUUUAAAAUUUGAAAUUAUAUCUUCAAAGUUCCACCCCUUAACUCUAAACCCUAAGUCUACAUUAGUUAACCGUAGUGUAUAAAUAUAUUUUCAUCUUUUAAUAAAACUCUUUUUUUUGGUGGAAGCUUCCUUUGUUCAGUAGUUUGACUAAGAGUUCAUUAAUGCUUUUACACCAGAAAGUCUGAGUUUCAAUCUUCAGAGAAAGCAAAAUUACGCGAAUUAAUAGAAAAAAACGCUUACAAGAAAAGAGUAUUGUCAAGCGUGGAUCCCAUAGGGCGGCUCAUGUAAUACAGUCAGACGUGAAUCCUUGUAAGGCAGAUAGAAUUGCCGAAUGUAGAAUCAUCUAAUGUUUCUUAUAGUUUGUAAUAGCGUAAUUAUCCAGUAAUAAAAAAAUAAAACUUUUUUGGUCAUUUUUUUUCAUGAAUGUUAUUUGGUGACAUAAAUUUAGAAAAGUUAUCCUAAAGAAUUUUUCAUUGUUCGAUCAUCUAUCAUUUUUUUGGGUUAAAUGAGUUAUAUUUGCUACAAUCAAACUUUCACUUGGGCCAAACACUAGUGAAACAUUAACUUUGGUCUUUAAAAAUUCUGGAACUUUUUUAUAUAAGCAUAUGCUUCCAAAUUAUAAAAAAAUAUAUUCUUAAAAAAAUACUUAUAACCUCCAAAAUUUCUAGACCAGACCCUGCUUCUAUCGAACCAACAAUAGAUAUAUUAAUUUUGAAAAGGCAGAAACAGAAAUGUAAUCUAUGUAAUAAAAAUCAACACAAUAAUAGAGCAUAGUUCUAGGAAAAACAAGGCACUUCAGCUUUUAAAAUGACUGAUAAAUUGACAUGUCAUAAACUGAAAAAAACUUAAUAACCAAUCUACUUAUUUUGUUUGUACACGUCAAUUCUUCUUCGCGGUGGAGUGAACAAAAAUUUUACGAAGAUCUAACAUUGGUGCUCGUGUUGAAGCUUGACGGUGGACUCAAUCAUUACCCGUCUCCACCUUGUCUCCGUCGUCACCUUUCUCUCUCUCGUGCCCGGAGACGCAGCAACAACAAACCAAACGCAGUGGUGCUCGUGGUGGUGAGUAGCGGAGCGUAACGGUGGUCUCAUUCAUCACCUGUAUCCACCUCGUCUCCAACUCCUCUCUGUCGUCAACUCUCUCUCUCUCUCUCUCUCCAACUCCUCUCCGUCGUCUCCUGUGUUUUGAUUCUCAUUUUAUCUUUGUUUUGGUAAAGGAAGUUGAUGAGGCAGAAGAAGAUGGUGUUUGUUGGUGUUACGGCUGAGAAGAUUGGUGUUCAAGGCGAGUAGCAGUUACAUUGGCGGUGGUGCAGUAGUGGCCAACCGCCUAAGAAGAAGCUCCGGUGUGGCAAGAUUGAGAGCGGUAAAGGCAGGCUGAGCUUGAAGGAGGAGGACGCUUGCUGAGAUUGACGGCGGAGAUGAAUCAUUGACGGCAAAGAGGAUUAGGUUUAGGUUUUUGGUUUAGUUUAGGUUUCUCUGGUUUAGUUGAGGUUUAUUUGGUUAACUUUAUUUUUAAAUUUUGGUUUAGUUUUGUAAACCAGAAAUUCUGUAAGCUGAUUUUAAUUUAUCAAUAAAAAUUAUUUCAUUUUAA